GGCAGCGAAGGAGCAGCUCUCCUCCUGAGCCUCCAUCCCAGAGAAGACAGAGAGGGAGAAGACAGAGAGAAGUCGACAGUCCCGCCUCACCGGUGCGUCUCCUGCAGCUCCUGAAGUUAAAACCGAGACAUCCGUUGUGAGGUCAAGAGAACACGAUGUACUAAGAGUGUUUGUUGUGACUGAACCUGAAAAGACUGAUCGUCCUGAACACACAGGGUCCUUCAGGAUUUCAUGCAGAGACCUGCGAAUGAGCACUGACGUCUGCCUUCAUCUGAGUGUAGAUGAAAGACGCAGGGAAUCACAUAUGGUUCCACACGCGUACACCAACACAGACGCUCGUCAUACUUCCCUUUGUUUUACUAAUGAAAAUCUUUUCCAUCGCUGUCAUCUGCUGCAAGACUGCGAUUAAAGAUAAAAGAAUAUUAACCACAUAAACCUGUAAUAUACCUAUGAAACUAUUAACAACUUCAUGUUACGUGAGUGAUGCAUUUUAGUGUUUUUGCUGGUUGGCAUGAGAAAGUUUUUAAAGUGGGGGUAAUUUGAU